UACGAAGGGGGCUAGCGUUGCUCGGAAUCACUGGGCGUAAAGGGUGCGUAGGCGGGUCUUUUAAGUCAGGGGUGAAAUCCUGGAGCUCAACUCCAGAACUGCCUUCGAUACUGGCGAUCUCGAGUUCGGGAGAGGUGAGUGGAACUGCGAGUGUAGAGGUGAAAUUCGUAGAUAUUCGGAAGAACACCAGUGGCGAAGGCGACUUACUGGACACAUAUUGACGCUGAGGUGCGAAAGCGUGGGGAGCAAACAGG
rnacentral:rRNA from 1 species